rnacentral:rRNA from 1 species
UAAAAAAUUUGGCGGUAUUUUAGUCUAUUCAGAGGAACCUGUCUUGUAAUCGAUAAUCCACGAUGGACCUUACUUAAGUUUGUAAUCAGUUUAUAUACCGUCGUUAUUAGAAUAUUUUAUAAGAAUGUUAAUUUUCAAGAUUUUUAAAAAGAAAAUAUAUCAGAUCAAGGUGUAGCUUAUAUUUAAGUAUUGAUGGGUUACAAUAAAAUUAUUUAUACGGAUUCAAAUUUGAAAUAUUUGUUGAAGGUGGAUUUGAUAGUAAAAUUAUAUAGAUUAAUAAUUUGAUUAUAGCUCUAAAAUAUGCACACAUCGCCCGUCACUCUUAUUAUUAAGGUAAGAUAAGUCGUAACAUAGUAGAUGUACUGGAAAGUGUACCUAGAAUGCAAUUUAAAGCUUAUUCAGUAAAGCAUUUCAUUUACAUUGAAAAGAUUUUUGUGCAAAUCAAUAUAAAUUGAUUAUUUUUUAUUUAUUAAUUAAUUUUUUUUUUUAUUUUAAAUUAUUAAAAGUAAUUAUUAAAGGAUUUGUUUUAGUAUUUUAUAAAGAAAAAAUAAUUUUAAUUAUAGUUAAAUAGUAUUGUGAAAGAAAAUUGAAAUAAUUUGAAAAAUU